GUAGGGCGCAAGCGUUGUCCGGAAUCAUUGGGCGUAAAGAGCUCGUAGGCGGCUUGUCACGUCGGGUGUGAAAGCCCGGGGCUUAACCCCGGGUCUGCAUUCGAUACGGGCUAGCUAGAGUGUGGUAGGGGAGAUCGGAAUUCCUGGUGUAGCGGUGAAAUGCGCAGAUAUCAGGAGGAACACCGGUGGCGAAGGCGGAUCUCUGGGCCAUUACUGACGCUGAGGAGCGAAAGCGUGGGGAGCGAACAGGAUUAGAUACCCUGGUAGUCCACGCCGUAAACGGUGGGAACUAGGUGUUGGCGACAUUCCACGUCGUCGGUGCCGCAGCUAACGCAUUAAGUUCCCCGCCUGGGGAGUACGGCCGCAAGGCUA
rnacentral:rRNA from 1 species